ACUCAAAUGAAUUGACGGGGAGCCGCACAAGCGGUGGAGCGUGUUCUUUAAUUCGAUGCUAAACGAAGAACCUUACCAGGGUUUGACAUCCCGAGAAGGUCUCCGAAAGGAGAUUGUGCCGAAAGGAAUUCGGUGACAGGUGAUGCAUGGCCGUCGUCAGCUCGUGUCGUGAGAUGUUUGGUUAAGUCCAUCAACGAGCGCAACCCUUAUGAAUAGUUGAAUUUUUCUAUUCAGACUGCCUCGGUAACGGGGAGGAGGGAGGGGAUGAUGUCAGGUCGGUAUUUCCCUUAUACCCUGGGCUAGAAACGCGCUACAAUGGCCAGUACAAAGGGCAGCUAAGUCGCGAGAUGGAGCAAAUCCCAACAAAACUGGUCCCAGUUCGGAUUGUAGGCUGAAACUCGCCUACAUGAAGUUGGAAUCGCUAGUAAUCGCAGGUCAGCAAACUGCGGUGAAUACGUUCCCGGCUCUUGCACACACCGCCCGU
rnacentral:rRNA from 1 species